CCUACGGGAGGCAGCAGUAAGGAAUAUUGGUCAAUGGACGCAAGUCUGAACCAGCCAUGCCGCGUGAAGGAUGAAGGCCUCUGGAUUGUAAACUUCUUUUAUAUGGGACGCGGUACCAUAAGAAUAAGCACCGGCUAACUCCGUGCCAGCAGCCGCGGUAAUACGGAGGGUGCAAGCGUUAUCCGGAUUCACUGGGUUUAAAGGGUGCGUAGGAGGGCAGGUAAGUCAGUGGUGAAAUCCCCGAGCUUAACUUGGGAACUGCCGUUGAUACUAUCUGUCUUGAAUACCGUGGAGAUGAGCGGAAUAUGUCAUGUAGCGGUGAAAUGCUUAGAUAUGACAUAGAACACCAAUUGCGAAGGCAGCUCGUUACACGAAAUUGACUCUGAGGCACGAAAGCGUGGGGAUCAAACAGGAUUAGAUACCCUUGUAGUC
rnacentral:rRNA from 1 species